rnacentral:rRNA from 1 species
ACUCCUACGGGAGGCAGCAGUAAGGAAUAUUGCGCAAUGGGCGAAAGCCUGACGCAGCGACGCCGCGUGGGGGAUGAAGAUCUUCGGAUUGUAAACCCCUUUCGGGAGGGAAGAUGGAGCGAGCAAUCGUUCGGACGGUACCUCCAGAAGCAGCCACGGCCAACUUCGUGCCAGCAGCCGCGGUAAUACGAAGGUGGCAAGCGUUGUUCGGACUCUCUGGGCGUACAGGGUGUGUAGGCGGUUUGGUAAGCCUUCUGUUAAAGCUUCGGGCCUAACCCGGAAAGCGCAGAGGGUACUGCCAGGCUAGAGGGUGGGAGAGGAGCGCGGAAUUCCCG